AUUGGACACAAUGAUGAUUGCAUAGUUCAGCAGAUAAAACAAUGAAGAAUAUCUUUUGUCUUUCGCUCCUAUCUGAUGUCUACA